rnacentral:rRNA from 1 species
UCCCGAGUAAAGUGGCGCACGGGUGAGUAACACGUGGAUAAUCUGCCUCUAUGAUGGGGAUAACAGUUGGAAACGACUGCUAAUACCGAAUACGCUCAUGAUGAACUUUAUGAGGAAAGGUGGCCUCUGCUUGCAAGCUAUCGCAUAGAGAUGAGUCCGCGUCCCAUUAGCUAGUUGGUGGGGUAACGGCCUACCAAGGCAACGAUGGG